rnacentral:lncRNA from 1 species
UAAGAUGAAAAACUAGGAAAGAGAUUAUACUUACUUUGGGUUACUGUAUCUUUGGUCUUAAAGGAAAGGCGAUUAUUAUGUUUUUAAUUGAACAUUUAUUCAAAUAUGCAAAACAAACGAAUGUUACAAUCUUUCAUCAAUUGAUUAUGAUUAGACACCCGUUAAUCCGCUGUACAGUCGACCAAUCAACAAGUUACACAAUGCAACUAACAGUCAUUUAUAUGGGAUCAGUCCAUGACACCUGAAAGUUUAUGAUAGAUUAUGAAAACUAUGUCGAAUGUUGACAGUGACUAGACAGCUUUCUCAUAUGAAAUCACCGAGACAAUCAUUCAAUUUUUUCUUUGGUUUUUAUAUAGUAUAUACCAACUAAUUAAAUUAGUGAAAAUAAGAACUCAAACGAAUCGGCGCCAA